rnacentral:lncRNA from 1 species
AAAACCAGACCUCUAGCCACUAAAACGGCCGCUUAGGGCAAAGUAGGAGGGCAUUCGGAGAUCAGGAUUUGAGAUCAGAGAGCUAGCUUUAAGUUAAUUUCAAAGGUGUAAGACUUAAUUUUAUAGGAUUUGGGAGGACUUUUCAAUCGUUGUUCAAAGUCAGUGUUUAUAUUGGUGAUUUGGAUUUUUUGCAAUAAAGUUAGUACUAGUAUACUUAACUGUUUUGUAAAAUUAGAGAAACAUCUAUAAUUGAAAUUUUAGAAGUAUCUAGAUGGUUGAGUAUGCCAAGUGCAUGCAAAAUUUUGUGUUAAUCUAAUAAUCCAAAUAGAGGAUAUUUGAUCACUAGUGUAAAGAGGUAUCAGAAGUUGGCAGAUUGGGAUUAUUUAGGAUUUUUGCAAUAUCUGGAGAUCUAUUAGCUGGAAUGAGGUGAAUUUUGGCGUAAUAAGUUGAAGACUUAAAGACGGAGUUGCACACAAAUUUUGAAUGAGAAUUAACAGUUGGAGAAGGAGAAAUUAUAAUUCAAAGUUCAUCAU